GAUGAACGCUGGCGGCGUGCCUAAUACAUGCAAGUCGAGCGAACAGACGAGGAGCUUGCUCCUCUGACGUUAGCGGCGGACGGGUGAGUAACACGUGGAUAACCUACCUAUAAGACUGGGAUAACUUCGGGAAACCGGAGCCAAUACCGGAUAAUAUAUUGAACCGCAUGGUUCAAUAGUGAAAGACGGUUUUGCUGUCACUUAUAGAUGGAUCCGCGCCGCAUUAGCUAGUUGGUAAGGUAACGGCUUACCAAGGCAACGAUGCGUAGCCGACCCGAGAGGAUGAGCAGCCACACUGUGACGGUGACACGGCGCAGACAGCUACGGGAGGCAGCAGUGGGGGAGUUGGGACAAAGGGCGCAAGCCUGAUACAGCCAUGCCGCGUGAAGGAUGAAGGUCUUAGGGUGGUAAACUGCUUGUGUACGGAACGAAAAGACGGCGUUGAAUACAGGAGGGGCAUGACGGGACCUGAAGAAGAAGCACCGGCUAACUACGGG
rnacentral:rRNA from 1 species